CAAUAGCGUAUAUUUAAGUUGCUGCAGUUAAAAAGCUCGUAGUUGGAUUUCGGGUGGGAAUGGCCGGUCCGCCGUUUCGGUGUGCACUUGCUACGCCCACCUUGCUGCCGGGGACGUGCUCUUGAGUUCACGCUCGGGACACGGAGUCGGCGAGGUUACUUUGAGUAAAUUAGAGUGUUCAAAGCAGGCCUACGCUCUGAAUACAUUAGCAUGGAAUAACACGAUAGGACUCUGGCCUAUCUUGUUGGUCUGUAGGACCGGAGUAAUGAUUAAGAGGGACAGUCGGGGGCAUUCGUAUUUCAUUGUCAGAGGUGAAAUUCUUGGAUUUAUGAAAGACGAACUACUGCGAACGCAUUUGCCAAGGAUGUUUUCAUUAA
rnacentral:rRNA from 1 species